CCUCUGAAAAUGCUGGGAUUACAGGUGUGAGCUACGACGCCCGGUCGAAUAUUUUCAAUUUUCAAUAGUUUGUUGCUAGUGUGCGGAAAUACAAUUUAUCUUUGUAUAACGACCUUGUGUCUUGUGGCCUCACUAAACGCAUUUAUUAGCUCUACUAACUUUCUUGUAGACUAUUUGGGAUUUUCUAAGUCAACGGUCAUGCUGUCCAUGAACGGAAUCACUUUUCUUUCUUCCUUUCUAAUGUCUACGUCUUUUAUUUCCUAGACAUGCUGCGCUGAUGACGACGUCGAAUGGAUUGUUAAACAGACGUGGCAGAGGCACACAUCCCCGCCUUCUUUCAGUCUUGGAGGAGAGCAUUCCGUUUUUCCCAAGGUCUGCUGGUGAACCUAUCAAGAGAACCCAGUGUCUCAUCUUCCUGCCUCAGUGGAACAAGGUUCCUCCUCUGCUGACCACAGGCACCUCCUUUCCUUGGACAGCCUCCCCUCCACCUGCCAGGUCAUAACUGGGUGUCACGAAAACC